rnacentral:tRNA from 1 species
UCCCUAGUGGCUCAGAUGGUAAAGUAUCUGCCUGUAAUGCAGGAGACCUGGGUUUGAUCCCUGAGUUGGGAA